GUGGGGAAUUUUGGACAAUGGGCGCAAGCCUGAUCCAGCAAUGCCGCGUGCAGGAAGAAGGCCUUCGGGUUGUAAACUGCUUUUGUACGGAACGAAACGGUCCUGGUUAAUACCUGGGGCUAAUGACGGUACCGUAAGAAUAAGCACCGGCUAACUACGUGCCAGCAGCCGCGGUAAUACGUAGGGUGCGAGCGUUAAUCGGAAUUACUGGGCGUAAAGCGUGCGCAGGAGGUGCUGUAAGACAGGCGUGAAAUCCCCGGGCUCAACCUGGGAAUUGCGCUUGUGACUGCAGUGCUGGAGUACGGCAGAGGGGGAUGGAAUUCCGCGUGUAGCAGUGAAAUGCGUAGAUAUGCGGAGGAACACCGAUGGCGAAGGCAAUCCCCUGGGCCUGCACUGACGCUCAUGCACGAAAGCGUGGGGAGCAAACAGGAUUAGAUACCCGGGUAGUCC
rnacentral:rRNA from 1 species